AUAAAUUGUUCUGACAAUUUUUUUAUUACUUAUAUUACUACACUUAAAAAACAUCGUUAACCGUUUUACAUAUUAAAGAUCAAAUCUUUGAAAAUCAUUUUGUUCUAAUCAGGGCACCACAAAUUUAGGAUAUCCUAAUUCUACCAUAGUUGUCGGUUUUUUGUGACCUCACCUCCUAACGCUCUUGCCGUUCGUUUCCUACAGACAAACCUUACUAUCCUUGAGAGAGUAUUGACAGAAAUAAUAAAUGAUGGAGAUGAAGUGAAAUGGCGAAGCAAGUAUGAAAAUUGAAGAUAUGAAGUCGCAAAUGAUGAAGAAGCCACAUAUGAUGAAGAAGCACGGAUGAUGAAAAAUUCACAGAUGAUGAAGAAAACCAGACGAAACUACGACGAAGAAGAAAAAAAGAUGAGAUGAAGAUCAAAAGAAAAUACAGCCUGGUGACGUUACGGUAUAAACAGUAGAUUCCCCGAUCUUUUCGGCGGUGGUCCCUGAUGAUAUAGGGAUCGACGAUGGGACGUGACGAAAUCGAUAUAGCAAUCGAUAGGCCGAUGUACGAGAAAUAGAUGUUCUAUAUUACAAAGUUGCUCAAAGACUGCUUCUCGACGUCUAAUUCUGGAUCAAGGGUCCGCGAUAACGGCUAAUCCAUUUUUGUUUUGUCCACUUAAUCCGUUAUGGAUCGCGUAAUCAACAAUUAUUUGAACAAAUUAAAGAUU
rnacentral:misc_RNA from 1 species